rnacentral:lncRNA from 1 species
CGGAAGACUGCGGGGAGAGGGGGAGGAGGGGACGGAGAGGGUGGGAAAGACCUUGGAAAGUGGGAUGGGGAGAAAGGUGGGGAAGAAGACAGUGGGGAGAAAGUGCAGGGAGAAGACAGUGUGGUAGAGAAGACAGUGGAGGAAAACGGUGAGGAGAAAGGAGGGUCAUGGGAACAUACAGAGACCUACAGGGAAGACGGCCAUGGGACAAGGGAGGCAGAGUCUGGAGUUACGCUGCCUACAGUCACGGAAUGCCAAGGACAGCUGGAAACCACCAGAAGCUAAGAAGGAGAUUUUACCUGAAAGCCUCUCAAAGAAAUCAAUCAUACUCACACCUCCUUUUUGAAUUUCUGGCCUCGUGAAUGGUGAAAAAAUAAAUUUCUGUCGUCUUAAGCCCCA